GUGCUGCAAUGAACACGGCAGUAGAGGUAGCGCUGUGGUUGGAAGCCUCCUCUGCCGUGCUGGUUGUGAAC
ensembl:miRNA gga-mir-1564 gga-mir-1564